CUUCCCCCUUCAUUCUCUCGCUUCUCUCUUCUAGUAAACAGACCACAGGAUCACAGGCUGUGUUAUAUACUGCAAUGAACCCAAGGGACCUAGAUCAAACUGGAAACAUGUUACCUAUUAGAUCUCCCCUCAACUCCCCCUUUCUGUCUUCAGCAAGACUCUCCCCAUGUCUUAUCCCUCUUUCUCCUUCCCCUUCCCGUCUCUCACCAUGUCCCAUUAACUCAGGCUCUUCUCCCUCCCGCCUCUCACCUUUAUCCACUUCUCCUUCUCGUCUCAGUCCAUCUUCUCACUUUAUUUCGUCUUACUCUCCUGUUUGUCUGUCUCCCUGCCCCACAUGUGACCCAUCUACCUCACCCAUUAGAGUGUCCUCCUGUCCCGUGCCUCUUUCCCCCUCUGUUGUCUUAAAAAAGCCCAUCCACAUUUCCUCCUUCAGUCAAACCGGGCAAAGCUUGGAACAACAGAACCAGAUUGAUAGUUCUCCUCAAAGCAUCAUCAAUACAGUGGAUACAUCCCUAAAUUCACC